UGCUGAUGACCCACCGCCUGCUCUGAACGAAACCACGCUGCACACACACCGGUCGUUGGACGUUUUUAACCUUAACACAGCUAGUGAAAGCAGCCAAAGCUCCACUACCAUGGGAGGAGCCAACCUGUCCUGUUUGAGAUGUUCUGAGACCUUUCCCUGGAAGAUGCACAAGUUUAAGAGUGGGGGUCUCAAGAUCAGCAGAAGCUGCUCUCAUCCGUCAUCUCUGCAGGGGACACUCCAGGGAAACUGAAGCCGUCACUAAAAGCAAGUGCCAUGAUGUUCAGCUUUUUACAGACUGACGCAAGAUGUAAGUAAUUUUGUU